GACGAACGCUGGCGGCGUGCCUAACACAUGCAAGUCGAACGGAAAGUUAGCAAUAACUUUUAGUGGCGAACGGGUGAGUAACGCGUGGGCAACCUGCUCUUCAGACGGGGACAACAUUCCGAAAGGAGUGCUAAUACCGGAUACGACCUUUGAACCGCAUGGUUUAAAGAAGAAAGGUGGCCUCUAUUUAUAAGCUACCGCUGAAGGAUGGGCCUGCGUCUGAUUAGCUAGUUGGUGGGGUAAAGGCCUACCAAGGCGACGAUCAGUAGCCGGUCUGAGAGGAUGAACGGCCACACUGGGACUGAGACACGGCCCAGACUCCUACGGGAGGCAGCAGUGGGGAAUCUUCCGCAAUGGGCGAAAGCCUGACGGAGCAACGCCGCGUGAGUGAAGAAGGUCUUCGGAUUGUAAAGCUCUGUUUAAAGGGACGAAUGGUCAGAUUGUGAAUAAUGAUUUGGCAUGACGGUACCUUUGGAGGAAGCCGCGGCUAACUACGUGCCAGCCGCCGCCGUAA
rnacentral:rRNA from 1 species